rnacentral:rRNA from 1 species
UAGGGAAUCUUCCGCAAUGGGCGAAAGCUUGACGGAGCAACGCCGCGUGAGUGAGGAAGGUUUUCGGAUCGUAAAACUUUGUUAUUAGGGAAGAACAAAUGUGUAUGUAACUAUGCACGUCUUGACGGUACCUAAUCAGAAAGCCACGGCUAACUACGUGCCAGCAGCCGCGGUAAUACGUUGGUGGCAAGCGUUAUCCGGAAUUAUUGGGCGUAAAGCGCGCGUAGGCGGUUUUUUAAGUCUGAUGUGAAAGCCCACGGCUCAACCGUGGAGGGUCAUUGGAAACUGGAGAACUUGAGUGCAGAAGAGGAAAGUGGAAUUCCAUGUGUAGCGGUGAAAUGCGCAGAGAUAUGGAGGAACACCAGUGGCGAAGGCGACUUUCUGGUCUGUAACUGACGCUGUUGUGCAAAAGCGUGGGGAUCAAACAGG